UAUCGCUAAGCUUUUUCUGAA
ensembl:piRNA 21ur-1233 ncRNA